rnacentral:rRNA from 1 species
GAUGAACGCUGGCGGCGUGCCUAAUACAUGCAAGUCGAGCGAACAGAUGAGGAGCUUGCUCCUCUGACGUUAGCGGCGGACGGGUGAGUAACACGUGGAUAACCUACCUAUAAGACUGGGAUAACUUCGGGAAACCGGAGCUAAUACCGGAUAAUAUAGUGAACCGCAUGGUUCAAUAGUGAAAUACGGUUUUGCUGUCACUUAUAGAUGGAUCCGCGCCGCAUUAGCUAGUUGGUAAGGUAACGGCUUACCAAGGCAACGAUGCGUAGCCGACCUGAGAGAGUGAUCCGCCACACUGGAACUGAUACACGGUCCAGACUCCUACGGGAGGCAGCAGUAGGGAAUCCUCCGCAAUGGGCGGAAGCCUGACGGAGCAACGCCGCGUGAGUGAUGAAGGUCUUCGGAUCGUAGAACUCUGUUAUGAGGGAAGAACAAAUGUGUAAGUAACUAUACGCGUCUUGACGAUACCUAAUCAGAAAGCCUCGGCUAACUACGUG